CACUGCCAGGAAACGAGAGCAAGAGAAAUGGAGAGGCAGUGGUGGGUCGUGGGUUCCCGUUCUCCAUGACGGAAAGCCCGCAUUUUGAGCCUCGAAACCCGCUCCGAUCUGUACCAAAUUUUGAGAGGGAGUUCAAUUCGUGGAGAUGAGCAUCACUACGGAGUCGGAUUCCGAAUCCAAUGGUUGGAUUUUCGGAUUUUGGUGAACAUUUAUUGCAGAAAAUCAUCUUCCUGGGCUAAACACUAAUGCUAUCAAGAACCGCUGGAACGACCAUUAGAAGAAGAGGCUUGCGAUUACAAGUUACCUUGAGCAACACCUUCUUCACCAUGAGCAGGACCUUCCCACGGAUGAUGAGACCAGUGAUCACUCUCACUAUCCCUAAUUUCAAAGGCAUGUACUUGGGAUUCUCAUUAUCGCUAAUUUCAAAGAUAUGUACUUAGGACUCUCAUUUAUCCUUAAUUUGGCGAUUUCUUUA